rnacentral:rRNA from 1 species
CCUACGGGUGGCUGCAGUGGGGAAUAUUGCACAAUGGGGGAAACCCUGAUGCAGCGACGCCGCGUGAGCGAAGCAGUCUUCCGGUAGGUAAAGUUCUGUAAGCAGGGAAAAAAAUGACGGUACCUGACCAAGAAGCCCCGGCUAACUCCGUGCCAGCAGCCGCGGAAAUCCGUAGGGGGCAAGCGUUAUCCGGAUUUACUGGGUGGAAAGAGAUCGUAGACGGCAGGGAAAGUCUGGAGUGAAAGGCGGGGGCUCAACCCCCGGACGGCCCUGGAAACUGGCAGGCUGGGGUGCAGGAGAGGUAAAUGGAAUUCCUGGUGUAGCGGUGAAAUGCUUAGAUAUUAGGAGGAACACCAGUGGCGAAGGCGGCUUACUGGACUGUAACUGACGUUGAGGCUCGAAAGCGUGGGGAGCAAACGGGAUUAGAUACCCGGGUAGUC